UGUAAUAUUACACGCUUUUGAAGACUGCUGAGUGAAAGUAAUCAAAAAUAAAAUGGCACGUCCAUUUAAAGAAGUUGACUGACAAAGCGUUACCUGUUUCGUUUUGCUUUUUUCUUUCUAGUGUUACCUGCUCACACAUUGCACUGUUGACCUCUUACCACGAGUGAGGACAACUCUGGCCAGAAAAGGAAUCAGAAGAGUCCUGGUACCAAAAAUAAUCCAUCUAGAGCUCAGCAAAUGACUCACUGCAGUGAAGAUGCUUUGGCUCUCAGCUCUGAGGAGGCCGAGCUCUGAGAAGUUUCUGAGCACUGAGGAAGAGCAUCUAUCCCUGAUGUCACCUAGCUCUGAUUUCACAUUCUGGCUAUUCCUGUAUUUGCUGUAAUUGGAAGAAACAUGUAACUUUUUCAAUAUUUUCUUGUGAAAGAUGAUCUUGAUGCAGAUACAUCUCAAAAGUUGGAGUGUAUGAUGCCUCUUGAUCAACUGCUGGGACUGCCUUUGUACCUGGAUAUUUACAGUCAGUCUCUAUCCAGGGAAUAUAGCAACAAAAUCUUUCCAUGAGAGGGGCUAC
rnacentral:lncRNA from 1 species